rnacentral:rRNA from 1 species
UACGUAGGGGGCAAGCGUUGUCCGGAUUCAUUGGGCGUAAAGAGCGUGUAGGCGGCCAGGUAGGUCGGUUGUGAAAACUGGAGGCUCAACCUUCAGAGGUCGACCGAAACCAUCUGGCUAGAGUCCGGGAGAGGAGAGUGGAAUUCCUGGUGUAGCGGUGAAAUGCGCAGAUAUCAGGAGGAACACCCGUGGCGAAAGCGGCUCUCUGGAACGGUACUGACGCUGAGACGCGAAAGCGUGGGGAGCGAACAGG